UUUGUUUGACCUUGAUUCCAUAUAUCUCUGGUCAAUGUAUGUUGAUUACUUCAUUUGAAUUUCCAUUAAUGUACAUUCUUAUCCAUCUUCUUCUUCAUCUUUUUCUUUUUGAUAAAUGAGUUAAAGAUUAGUGGUUAGCCUUGAUGUAUGGGAGGUUUAACCUUCCUUGAUUCAAAUCUAAUUCAUCUUGAUCAUAGAUCAAGUGAAUGACUUUGCAUUAAGGAUAUGUUGCUU
rnacentral:lncRNA from 1 species